rnacentral:ribozyme from 1 species
UCAAGGAGGCCACCCCGCGCCCUCGGGCCCGCCGCACCUCGCGGCC